rnacentral:lncRNA from 1 species
UAAUGUGGUGUUCGUCUUGGGGAAAGACUAUUUCCCUUGAAAGGACCCGACCUGGACUUUAUAUAUAUAGAAGGACUUAGGCUUAAGUACUGUAAUUACCUAUUACUCGGGCGUUGUUAACUGUUUCUUCGUGGUUAACGUCUAACCUCGUUGACCAUUAGAUUGAAGAGGGCGCUGCAGGCGUGCGCAGGCUCUGACAUCCGCUGUAUCCAACCAGAGGCCCAUUGGUGUCCAUCGUCUACUCCUGGCAGGGAGAAUGGUAUCAGUUGUCUACUCCUAAUAGGGAGAACCCGGGCUUAGGGUAAAGAUACAACACCCCCCUCCUUCCUAAAAAGGAGGAACUAUAAGUUCCGACAAAGGCCUGACAACUGAAGACGCCCCUUAUGCCUUAAAUUCAAAAUACUAAGUUAAUUUACCUAACCAACGAAUGGGUUAUUUCUAAAAUCCACCCCCCUGUUCCCUGGCUAUUG